rnacentral:tRNA from 1 species
GCCCAGGUGGCGGAAUUGGUAGACGCGCCGGUCUCAAACACCGGUGGGGCAACCCGUGCCGGUUCGAGCCCGGCCCUGGGCAC